rnacentral:lncRNA from 1 species
CAUGUUUACAGAGUUAGAACCGGAAGGUUCCCAGAGUUAGAACCGGAAGGUUCACAGAGUUAGAACCAGAGGGUUCAUAGAGUAGGGUCCACGGACCCACAGAGUUAUAGCCUCGAGUGGCUAAUAUGUGUAUGUGUGGUAUUUUGGGGAACUCACUAAGCUUCGUGCUUACAGUGUUUUGUGUUAUGUGUUUCAGGUUUCUCUCAGGAUCACGAGACGGCAACGGCUCGAUUGUACACACCAGAGAAAGAGUCAUGUUUUGAGGAUCCUGGUUUAUUAUGCAAGUGAAAAUGAAGUUACGUUUUGUAAUUCGGUUAUGAAUGAGAUUUUAAGCAAAGUAUU